CCGUGCUAGGCGGGGAGCUUGUGGUGCCCUGUACCCCAAACCCACACAUGGGGGGCUGAUCAACCGUCUGAGGCCUGGACCAAACAUCGCAACCGGAUUCCUCGACGUGUCGAGGGUUGGGUCCCGCGCAACGUAACCCUGUGAACCGAGUCAGGUCCGGGAGGAAGCAGCUCUCAGCAGUGAGUUGCGUGUGCCGCGGGGUUGCCUGAUCUGAGCCGACAGGAAAAACGAGCUUUGCGAGGCCUUGUCGAAGCGGGGGCACGG
rnacentral:SRP_RNA from 1 species